rnacentral:rRNA from 1 species
ACGAACGCUGGCGGCGUGCCUAAUACAUGCAAGUCGAACGAGCUCUCCUAAAUUGAUUUUAUGCUUGCAUAAAUGAUUUUUAGAUUCGGAGCGAGUGGCGAACUGGUGAGUAACACGUGGGUAACCUGCCCCGAAGCGGGGGAUAACAUUUGGAAACAAAUGCUAAUACCGCAUAAUUAGUUGGAACCGCAUGGUUCCAACUUGAAAGAUGGCUCUGCUAUCACUUUGGGAUGGACCCGCGCCGUAUUAGUUAGUUGGUGAGAUAAAAGCCCACCAAGACGAUGAUACGUAGCCGACCUGAGAGGGUAAUCGGCCACAUUGGGACUGAGACACGGCCCAGACUCCUACGGGAGGCAGCAGUAGGGAAUCUUCCACAAUGGACGAAAGUCUGAUGGAGCAACGCCGCGUGAGUGAUGAAGGUUUUCGGAUCGUAAAACUCUGUUGUUAAAGAAGAACAAGUGUUAGAGUAACUGUUAACACUUUGACGGUAUUUAACCAGAAAGCCACGGCUAACUACGUGCCAGCAGCCGCGGUAAUACGUAGGUGGCAAGCGUUGUCCGGAUUUAUUGGGCGUAAAGCGAGCGCAGGCGGUUUUGUAAGUCUGCUGUGAAAGCCCUCAGCUCAACUGAGGAAGUGCAGUGGAAACUACAAAACUUGAGUACAGAAGAGGAAAGUGGAACUCCAUGUGUAGCGGUGAAAUGCGUAGAUAUAUGGAAGAACACCAGUGGCGAAAGGCGGCUUUCUGGUCUGUUACUGACGCUGAGGCUCGAAAGCAUGGGUAGCGAACAGGAUUAGAUACCCUGGUAGUCCAUGCCGUAAACGAUGAAUACUAGGUGUUGGAGGGUUUCCGCCCUUCAGUGCCGCAGCUAACGCAUUAAGUAUUCCGCCUGGGGAGUACGACCGCAAGGUUGAAACUCAAAGGAAUUGACGGGGGCCCGCACAAGUGGUGGAGCAUGUGGUUUAAUUCGAUGCUACGCGAAGAACCUUACCAGCUCUUGACAUCUUCUGCCAACCCAAGAGAUUGGGCGUUCCCUUCGGGGACAGAAUGACAGGUGGUGCAUGGUUGUCGUCAGCUCGUGUCGUGAGAUGUUGGGUUAAGUCCCGCAACGAGCGCAACCCUUAUUAUUAGUUGCCAGCAUUUAGUUGGGCACUCUAGUGAGACUGCCGGUGAUAAACCGGAGGAAGGUGGGGACGGCGUCAAAUCAUCAUGCCCCUUAUGAGCUGGGCUACACACGUGCUACAAUGGAUGGUACAACGAGUCGCGAAACCGCGAGGUCAAGCUAAUCUCUUAAAGCCAUUCUCAGUUCGGAUUGCAGGCUGCAACUCGCCUGCAUGAAGUUGGAAUCACUAGUAAUCGUGGAUCAGCAUGCCACGGUGAAUACGUUCCCGGGCCU